rnacentral:rRNA from 1 species
AUGCGCGCGGGAAGCCGCCAUGCACGCGCGCCUCUGGGUCGCCGACGACGUCCGGCUCGGCUCCAGCAGCGGAGGCAGCAGCCCGGCCGCCUCCCCCUCCGGCCCCUCCGACAGCGACGGCGGAUCCACCAGCACCGACGAGCACUGCCCCGACGACCCACGCGAGUCCCGGCGCCACUUCUCGCGUUUCCGCCCGACCUCUCCGUCCUCCUCCAGCCCACUGUGCGGCGACGACUACAAGCACCUGCAGCGCAUGGCCCUCCUCCUCCCCGCCUUCUCCUCCACCGCCGCCGCACGCGCGGACGCUCUGCGCCAAUGGAUCGCUGGUUUCGACGUCGGCUGGGUGCUGGACAUGGGCCGCGGGAGCGGGGCUGA